AUUGAACGCUGGCGGCAGGCUUAACACAUGCAAGUCGAGCGGGCCCUUCGGGGUCAGCGGCGGACGGGUGAGUAACGCGUGGGAACGUGCCCUCUGGUUCGGAAUAACUCAGGGAAACUUGAGCUAAUACCGGAUACGCCCUUUUGGGGAAAGGCUUGCUGCCGGAGGAUCGGCCCGCGUCUGAUUAGCUAGUUGGUGGGGUAACGGCCUACCAAGGCGACGAUCAGUAGCUGGUCUGAGAGGAUGAUCAGCCACACUGGGACUGAGACACGGCCCAGACUCCUACGGGAGGCAGCAGUGGGGAAUAUUGGACAAUGGGGGCAACCCUGAUCCAGCCAUGCCGCGUGAGUGAUGAAGGCCUUAGGGUUGUAAAGCUCUUUUAUCCGGGACGAUAAUGACGGUACCGGAGGAAUAAGCCCCGGCUAACUUCGUGCCAGCCGCCGCCGUAA
rnacentral:rRNA from 1 species